GACGAACGCUGGCGGCGUGCUUAACACAUGCAAGUCGAACGGAGAGGCCCUGCUUUUGUGGGGUGCUCGAGUGGCGAACGGGUGAGUAACACGUGAGUAACCUGCCCUUGACUUUGGGAUAACAUCAGGAAACUGGGGCUAAUACCGGAUAGGAGCUCCUGCUGCAUGGUGGGGGUUGGAAAGUUUCGGCGGUUGGGGAUGGACUCGCGGCUUAUCAGCUUGUUGGUGGGGUAGUGGCUUACCAAGGCUUUGACGGGUAGCCGGCCUGAGAGGGUGACCGGCCACAUUGGGACUGAGAUACGGCCCAGACUCCUACGGGAGGCAGCAGUGGGGAAUAUUGCACAAUGGGCGGAAGCCUGAUGCAGCAACGCCGCGUGCGGGAUGACGGCCUUCGGGUUGUAAACCGCUUUCGCCUGUGACGAAGCGUGAGUGACGGUAAUGGGUAAAGAAGCACCGGCUAACUACGUG
rnacentral:rRNA from 1 species